rnacentral:tRNA from 1 species
GGUAUAGCUCAGUUGGUUAGAGCGCUGGAUUGUGGUUCCAGAGGUCGCCGGUUCAAAUCCGGUUAUU